UACGGAGGGUGCAAGCAUUAAUCGGAUUUAUUGGGCGUAAAGGGCGCGUAGGCGGGAAGGUAAGUCAGAUGUUAAAGACCAGGGCUCAACUCUGGAAAAGCAUUUGAAACUACCUUUCUUGAGGGUAGACGGGGAAAGUAGAAUUCUGUGUGUAGCGGUGAAAUGCGUAGAUAUACAGAGGAAUACCCGUGGCGAAGGCGACUUUCUAGUCUACACCUGACGCUGAGGCGCGAAAGCAAGGGGAGCAAACAGG
rnacentral:misc_RNA from 1 species